UACAGAGAGUGCAAACGUUGUUCGGAAUUACUGGGCUUGAAGCGCACGUAGGCGGCAUCGCAAGUGCGGGGUGAAAUCCCACGGCUUACCCGUGGAACUGCCUGGCAGACUGCGAUGCUCGAGUGUGGUAGGGGAGAACGGAACUCCUGGUGGAGCGGUGAAAUGCGUAGAUAUCAGGAGGAACACCGGUGGCGAAGGCGGUUCUCUGGUCCACAACUGACGCUGAGGUGCGAAAGCUAGGGGAGCAAACGGG
rnacentral:rRNA from 1 species